GUCACUUUUGUGAUUUCUAAUUAGAGAAAUUUUCUCUUUCCUUCUUUUAAAAUCUACUAUUUUUAUGGCUAACAGAGAUUUCCUGUAGUCUGUCCUUUUCUUAAUUGAGAUGUAGUUGUACAUAUGGGCUCUGCAGGAAGUCUGUAUGUAUCCUUUAAACAAUUUUAACUUUUCAUCAGCCACUCACCUUGAGUCACACACUUUGCUACAGGCUUGAACUUCACUCAUCAAAAAGAAAGCUGAAGCUCAAAUAUAGUGGGAAAAACAGGUCCUAGAUAUGAUUUUUUAAAAUCUCUUAUUUUUGAGUCCUCUUUACAUAGCUAAUAUAUCAUCAGUUCUGAUGGCCAUAAGACAUAGUUUCUUUUCACUUCUUGUGUGCAAAAUUACUUGUAAUAUUUGACAUGCAUGUUGUACAUAGCUAAGUGUUGUAUUUACCCUAAGUGUUAGUGGUAUUUUUAGAACUUUUAACUUAUUUUCGGUUAUUACUUAUAGAUGAAUUUAUUUAAAUUAAGAUCUUUAAGUAAGAUAUGCCUGUGUCUCCAAUAAAAAUAUUAUUUUUAUGUGAUUUAGUCUCAUUCAACUCUAAUUUAUAAAUUAUACUCUUGAACACUAUCUACCAGGAUGAAAGGGGAACUGAGAGGUAGAAGUAAGCAAAGAGCCUGCAGAGGAGGAGAGCUUUGACUGUGGUCAAUAUUACCUAUAUACAAAAAAAACAUGUUCUUUACACAUGCUUAGAUUCCAACUCAUAGUAGUUUUAAGUACCUACUUUGACAUGAAGAACUGACUUUAAAUCUUUGCCUUACUUCAUUAUGAUGAACAAAGGAUUGACUUAAAGUUGACCCAAGUACAGCAAAAAAGCUAUAAUAAAAUAUUGAACUUUUAAAAAUCCUCUUAAGAUAUUUAAAAAUCCCUGUCCACUGGAUUGUCUAAUGUGAUUUAACUGAAAAGUUUCCAUCAUUUCCUUUAGUAAUCCCUAUAGAGUUUAGCAUGGUGAAUUGCCU
rnacentral:lncRNA from 1 species